rfam:Triticum aestivum genome assembly, contig: Triticum_aestivum_CS42_TGACv1_scaffold_578125_7BL
AAGAUACUCCCUCCAUUAGGAAUUAGUUGUCGCGAAAAUGGAUGUAUCUAGAACUAAAAUACAUCUAGAUACAUCCAUUUUUGCGACAAGUAAUUCCGAACGGAGGGAGUAGUAA